UACGCUUCUCAGCUCUAUGAGCUAAGAUCAAGCGUAGUAUCUGUUCUUACCAGUUUAAUCUCUUUUGAUGGACACUUGCAACACUUGAUCUGAAGAUGGAUUCUCCUGCUGCCAUUUUUGAAAAAAUCAAUGCAGCUUUGAAAAUAUAUUCCACUACAGCUCCUUUGGAAGAAAAUUCUCUCUCUGC
rnacentral:snRNA from 1 species